rnacentral:rRNA from 1 species
GUGUCAGCAGCCGCGGUAAUACAGAGGGUGCGAGCGUUAAUCGGAUUUACUGGGCGUAAAGCGUGCGUAGGUGGCCAAUUAAGUCAAAUGUGAAAUCCCCGAGCUUAACUUGGGAAUUGCAUUCGAUACUGGUUGGCUAGAGUAUGGGAGAGGAUGGUAGAAUUCCAGGUGUAGCGGUGAAAUGCGUAGAGAUCUGGAGGAAUACCGAUGGCGAAGGCAGCCAUCUGGCCUAAUACUGACACUGAGGUACGAAAGCAUGGGGAGCAAACAGGAUUAGAUACCCUGGUAGUCCAUGCCGUAAACGAUGUCUACUAGCCGUUGGGGUCUUUGAGACUUUAGUGGCGCAGCUAACGCGAUAAGUAGACCGCCUGGGGAGUACGGUCGCAAGACUAAA